rnacentral:rRNA from 1 species
AUUGAACGCUGGCGGCAGGCCUAACACAUGCAAGUCGAACGAGUGGCGGCCGGGUGAGUAAUGUCUGGGCAACUGCCCGAUGGAGGGGGAUAACGACUGGCAACGGUAGCUAAUACCGCAUACCAUCGGAUGUGCCCAGAUGGGAUUAGCUAGUAGGUGGGGUAAAGGCUCACCUAGGCGACGAUCCCUAGCUGGUCUGAGCGGUUGCCCAGCAACACUAGAACGGAGCCACGGUCCAGACUCCUACGGGAGGCAGCAGUGGGGAAUAUUACACAAUGUGCGCAAGCCUGAUGCAGCCAUGCCGCGUGUAUGAAGAAGGCCUUCGGGUUGUAAAGUACUUUCAGCGAGGAGGCGUUACUCGCAGAAGAAGCACCGGAUAACUCCGUGCCAGCAGCCGCGGUAAGUC